rnacentral:rRNA from 1 species
CUUUCUCCGCCGGCGACCGGCACACGGGUGAGUAACACGUAUGCAACCUGCCCCUGUCAGGGGGACAACCCGCCGAAAGGCGGGGCUAAACCCGCGUACAUGCCACCGGGGCAUCCCGGAGGCAGGAAAGGCUUCGGCCGGACAGGGAUGGGCAUGCGGCGCAUUAGGCAGUAGGCGGGGUAACGGCCCACCUAACCGACGAUGCGUAGGGGUUCUGAGAGGAAGGUCCCCCACACUGGUACUGAGACACGGACCAGACUCCUACGGAAGGCAGCAG